rnacentral:rRNA from 1 species
UGAGGAAUAUUGGUCAAUGGGCGAGAGCCUGAACCAGCCAAGUAGCGUGCAGGAUGACGGCCCUAUGGGUUGUAAACUGCUUUUAUGUGGGGAUAAAGUGCGUGACGUGUCAUGCAUUGCAGGUACCACAUGAAUAAGGACCGGCUAAUUCCGUGCCAGCAGCCGCGGUAAUAUGGAAGGUCCGGGCGUUAUCCGGAUUUAUUGGGUGUAAAGGGAGCGUAGGCUGUCUAUUAAGCGUGUUGUGAAAUUUACCGGCUCAACCGGUGGCUUGCAGCGCGAACUGGUCGACUUGAGUAUGCAGGAAGUAGGCGGAAUUCAUGGUGUAGCGGUGAAAUGCUUAGAUAUCAUGACGAACUCCGAUUGCGCAGGCAGCUUACUGUAGCAUAACUGACGCUGAUGCUCGAAAGUGCGGGUAUCAAACAGG